UUGUGCAAAGUGUCAAUCUCGUUCCGUUUUCUUUCACAUUGGAAGAAACGUUUUAUUUUGCCCAAUCAGAUGCGAGUGGGCGGGAUUAAUAGUACCCUGCGUAAAACGUAGGUAGGCGUUCGAGCCGCAGCGCAAACAGCGGAGCGGAUGUGGGGCGAAAACAAAGUAAAACUUUCUAUUACAACAGUUAAUGGAGAGUUAUUGUCUGUAAAAGACUUUAGGAAGCAUAUGAAAGCGGGCCAUGAACUUCCCUUUGGGCCUGCUGGACCAACAGAAGUUUCCCUUUCGACCGUUUGGGUCCCAUUUGUGAGUCUGCUGCCAUGAAGGAUCUCGAUGUUCAAGUUGACAUCACCUGCUCAGCGCCAUUUUUAAAGGAAUUUCCACAUCUACCUUUCCUGUUCCAAUCUCGAACUCUGAAGGAUUUGUUUGCAGCUUGCCGAUCCAUCUCCCUCUGUCUCUUCACUGGUCCUCCGGCCGCUCACCAGUGAAAACCUCCAGCCUCCUGUCUGUCCACUCUCUACCUCAAGUCUACCCGAGAGAAACGCAGUUUUUCCAAGACGCCACCACUCCCUUCCAACCACAUACUCUGCCAAGCUACUUACCGUCCUUUGGACUCUCUUGACGUGUCCAGAUAACAGAAAUUAAUUUGCCAUCUUCUCUAUCCUGCAAAUCAUCUGCCUAACUCAUUUACCUCUGUCCUCAGUGCACUUCUUGGUCCAAUCCCCGUCCUUCAUUUGCACAUUUCAAAUAAUUUUGUAAGAUCUGCGUUUGUGUUUGUCAUUGUUACGUACCUACUAGUCCAUUUGACAGCAUUGUGAAAAAGACUGUCAGCUACCCUGAAUACACACUGAAACUGCAUAAAAAUUACACUUAAAGCAAACCAAAUUAACAUUAACAUUGCAAGGUGUGCUAAUUACUCUUAACAGUGUUAUUUCAUACAGAAAUGUUCAGUGAAUAUGAAGACUUUUUGCCGCUGCAUUGCUUCUUUAUUAAAGGCUUCCUGCUUUCCCCAGAGCAAGUUGAAA